UACGUAGGGGGCAAGCGUUGUCCGGAAUCAUUGGGCGUAAAACGAGCGUAGGCGGCCCGAUAAGUCUGCUGUAAAAGUCAACGGCUCAACCGUUGAAAGCCGGUGGAUACUGUCGGGCUAGAGUUCGGAAGAGGCAAGUGGAAUUCCUGGUGUAGCGGUGGAAUGCGCAGAUAUCAGGAGGAACACCGGUGGCGAAGGCGGGUCUCUGGGCCGAAAUUGACGCUGAGGAGCGAAAGCGUGGGGAGCAAACAGG
rnacentral:rRNA from 1 species